ACACGUGAAACCCUGUGGGAAGCAGGAGGGACCACCCUCCAAGGCUAAAUACUACCUAGUGACCGAUAGCGUAUAGUACCGUGAGGGAAAGGUGAAAAGAACCCCGGGAGGGGAGUGAAAUAGAACCUGAAACCCUGCACUUACAAGCUGUGGAAGCACAUUUCUUGUGUGACCGCGUACUUUUUGUAGAACGGGCCAACGAGUUACGUUAAGUAGCAAGGUUAAGCACUUAAGGUGUGGAGCCGUAGCGAAAGCGAGUUUUAACUGAGCGUUCAGUUACUUGACGUAGACCCGAAACCGGGCGACCUACCCAUGAGCAGGAUGAAGCGAAAGUAAAAUUUCGUGGAGGUCCGAACCCACGAGCGUUGAAAAGCUCGGGGAUGACUUGUGGGUAGCGGUGAAAUUCCAAUCGAGCCCGGAGAUAGCUGGUUCUCCCCGAAAUAGCUUUAGGGCUAGCCUCAAGGUGAGAGAUACGGAGGUAGAGCACUGAAUGUCCUAGGGGGUAUUGCACCUACCGAAGACUAUCAAACUCCGAAUGCCGUCAUCUUAUACUUGGGAGUCAGACUGUGGGUGAUAAGAUUCAUAGUCGAAAGGGCAACAGCCCAGAUCGUCAGCUAAGGUCCCUAAAUGUAAGUUAAGUGGUAAAGGAUGUGGGAUUGCACAGACAACCAGGAUGUUGGCUUAGAAGCAGCCACUCAUUCAAAGAGUGCGUAAUAGCUCACUGGUCGAGUGAUCCUGCGCCGAAGAUUUCCGGGGCUAAAACUUACUACCGAAGCUACGGCAUCAGUAAUGAUGGGUAGGGGAGCUUCCCAUACGGGUUGAAGCAUGACCGUAAGGACAUGUGGACAGUAUGGGAGUGAGAAUGUUGGCAUGAGUAGCGAGAUGUGGGUGAGAAUCCCACAGGCCGUAAACCCAAGGUUUCCAGGGGAAGGUUCGUCCGCCCUGGGUUAGUCGGGACCUAAGCUGAGGCCGAAAGGCGUAGGUGAUGGACAACAGGUUGAUAUUCCUGUACUACCGAUAACCGUUUGAGAGAAGGGAUGACACAGUAGGAUAAGCUAAGCACACUGUUGGUUAUGUGUGCCCAAGCAUUGAGGCAGUCAAAGUAGGCAAAUCCGCUUUGAUAAUGCUGGGAUGUGAUGGGGAGCGAAAUUUAGUAGCGAAGUAGCUGAUUUCACACUGUCAAGAAAAGUCUCUAUCGAGGUUAAAGGUACCCGUACCGCAAACCGACACAGGUGGGUGAGGAGAGUAUCCUAAGGCCAGCGAGAGAACUGUUGUUAAGGAACUCGGCAAAAUGACCCCGUAACUUAGGGAUAAGGGGUGCCACCAUCAGGUGGCCGCAGAGAAUAGGCCCAAGCGACUGUUUACCAAAAACAUAGGUUUCUGCUAAGUCGCAAGACGAUGUAUAGGAGCUGACGCCUGCCCGGUGCUGGAAGGUUAAGGGGAUCUGUUAGAGCAAUCGAAGCAGUGAACUUAAGCCCCAGUAAACGGCGGCCGUAACUAUAACGGUCCUAAGGUAGCGAAAUUCCUUGUCGGGUAAGUUCCGACCCGCACGAAAGGCGUAACGAUUUGGGCACUGUCUCAACAACAGACUCGGUGAAAUUGUAAUUCCGGUGAAGAUGCCGGAUACCUGCGACAGGACGGAAAGACCCCAUGGAGCUU
rnacentral:rRNA from 1 species